AGUAACACGUGGAUAACCUACCUAUAAGACUGGGAUAACUUCGGGAAACCGGAGCUAAUACCGGAUAAUAUUUUGAACCGCAUGGUUCAAAAGUGAAAGACGGUCUUGCUGUCACUUAUAGAUGGAUCCGCGCUGCAUUGGCUAGUUGGUAAGGUAACGGCUUACCAAGGCAACGAUGCAUAGCCGACCUGAGAGGGUGAUCGGCCACACUGGAACUGAGACACGGUCCAG
rnacentral:rRNA from 1 species